CUGCUCAUCUGCAUUCAGCUCAGCGUGCUGCAGACUCAGCUUAUGGCACACCUCAAAUGCCUGACCGACCGUCCGCACUAUCCGCAUGGCCUGACUCUGAGAGGGGAGAGAGAGGGGAUUUGCUACUACAGUUCUAUGAAAAAAGCAAAGGGUAAAGAAUGAGAGGAAAAGCAGAGACAAACAGGUGAAAGGCGAUUGCUCUACCUUCUUUUUGGACUUGAACACAUUGCAUCUAAACGAGUUGCUCGAUCCAUCACGAGCAAUGUAGCUGAAAAUCUUCAGAUCCUGAGAAUCAUGGGAUACAUAGAAGAUCCUUAGAG